AGACGGAGGGAGCUAGCGUUGUUCGGAAUGACUGGGCGUAAAGGGCGCGUAGGCGGUUUUUUAAGUGAGGCGUGAAAGCCCUGGGCUUAACCCAGGAGGUGCGUUUCAUACUGGAAGACUUGAGUGCGAGAGAGGAAAGUGGAAUUCCUAGUGUAGAGGUGAAAUUCGUAGAUAUUAGGAAGAACACCUGUGGCGAAGGCGGCUUUCUGGCUCGCAACUGACGCUGAGGCGCGAAAGCGUGGGGAGC
rnacentral:rRNA from 1 species